rnacentral:lncRNA from 1 species
AAAAAAAAAGUGUACCCAUAUGUGAAAAAUCAUUACGCAGUCAUAAUUCCUUAACUUCUUGAUAUUGAAAAAAGAAGGAACUAAAGGACAAAAAUGAAUAUAUAUGCAUUGUUGUAUCUUUCUGGAGUAGUUUACCUGCUGGAGAAGAUUGGAGAGGAGCCCAAAAAGCUGAGCAUCUGCAGCCGGCGGUGGCGACGCCGUUGGUGGUCUUUUUUCUUCUGCCAUUUUUCUUUCCUGAGAUGUUUAACGCGAACGAAACGCGGCCUUGAUUAAGUAGUAUUUGGGAGAACGCGGGCUAUCGGGCCUUGAGUUCCGAGUUUCAACAACCUACUCAGCCACCGAUUUUCAAUGCCUCCUUUCAAAAUUAAGAAUCAAGGUUUAAAAUUUUAAAAUCAG